rnacentral:tRNA from 1 species
GGUGUAGCUCAGUGGUAGAGCAUGUGUUUACCAUGCCCAAGGCCUUGGGUUUAAUAUCCAACACC